rnacentral:rRNA from 1 species
AGAGUUUGAUCCUGGCUCAGGACGAACGCUGGCGGUGUGCUUCACACAUGCAAGUCGAGCGAAUGAAGUAGGUAGCUUGCUACUUAUGGAUUUAGCGGCGGACGGGUGAGUAAUAUAUAGGAAUCUGCCUUAGAGCGGGGAACAACAGAUCGAAAGGUUUGCUAAUGCCCCAUAGGUAUGCAGUCUUCGGAUUGUAUAUUAAAGGAGUAAUCCACUCUAAGAUGAGCCUGUAUCCGAUUAGCUAGUUGGCGGGGUAAAGGCCCACCAAGGCUACGAUCGGUAGUUGGUCUGAGAGGAUGAUCAGCCACAAUGGGACUGAGACACGGCCCAUACUCCUACGGGAGGCAGCAGUGGGGAAUUUUACACAAUGGGGGAAACCCUGAUGUAGCGACACCGCGUGAACGAAGAAGCCUUUUGGGGUGUAAAGUUCUGUCGGCUGGAACGAAAAAAAUGACGGUACCAGCAAAGGAAGCAUCGGCUAACUACGUGCCAGCAGCCGCGGUAAGACGUAGGAUGCAAGCGUUGUCCGGAUUUAUUGGGCGUAAAGAGUUCGUAGGCGGUUAUUUAAGUCUGGUGUUAAAUACUGUGGCCCAACCACAGAACUGCAUUGGAUACUGGAUGACUUGAGUGCGGUAGAGGCGAGUGGAAUUCCCAGUGUAGCGGUGAAAUGCGUAGA